UACGUAGGGUCCGAGCGUUGUCCGGAAUUACUGGGCGUAAAGAGCUCGUAGGCGGUCUGUCGCGUCGGUCGUGAAAACUUGGGGCUUAACCCUGAGCUUGCGGUCGAUACGGGCAUGACUGGAGUUCGGUAGGGGAGACUGGAAUUCCUGGUGUAGCGGUGAAAUGCGCAGAUAUCAGGAGGAACACCGGUGGCGAAGGCGGGUCUCUGGGCCGAUACUGACGCUGAGGAGCGAAAGCGUGGGGAGCGAACAGG
rnacentral:rRNA from 1 species